CAGAGAAUAGUUUAAAUAAAAUUUUAGUUUUGGAAAUUAAAGAAGAGAUAAUUCUUUUCUCUGA
rnacentral:tRNA from 1 species